rnacentral:tRNA from 1 species
GACCGCGUGGCUCAGUUGGCAGAGCAUUGGGCUGGUAUUCCAAAGGUCGUAGCUAGGUUCGAUUCCCACCGUGGUCA